rnacentral:rRNA from 1 species
AUUGAACGCUGGCGGCAGGCCUAACACAUGCAAUUCGAACGAGUGGCGGACGGGUGAGUCAUGUCUGGGAAACUGCCCGAUGGAGGGGGAUACCUACUGGAAACGGUAGCUAAUACCGCAUACCAUCGCAUUUUCCCAGAUGGGAUUAGCUUGUCGGUGGGGUAACGGCUCACCUAGGCGACGAUCCCUAGCUGUUCUGAGAGGAGGACCAGCCAAACGGGAACUGUGACACGGUCCAGACUCCUCCGGGAGGAAGCAGUGGGGAAUAUGGCACAAUGGGCGCAAGCCUGAUGCAGCCAUGCCGCGUGUAUGAAGAAGGCCUUCGGGUUGUAAAGUACUUUCAGCGAGGAGGCGGUACUCGCAGAAGAAGCACCGGCUAACUCCGUGCCAGCAGCCGCGGUAAUAC